UACGGGGGGGGCAAGCGUUGUUCGGAAUUACUGGGCGUAAAGGGCUCGUAGGUGGCCAACUAAGUCAGACGUGAAAUCCCUCGGCUUAACCGGGGAACUGCGUCUGAUACUGGAUGGCUUGAGUUUGGGAGAGGGACGCGGAAUUCCAGGUGUAACGGUGAAAUGCGUAGAUAUCUGGAGGAACACCGGUGGCGAAGGCGGCGUCCUGGACCAACACUGACACUGAGGAGCGAAAGCCAGGGGAGCAAACAGG
rnacentral:rRNA from 1 species